CACGACGAACAUGGGUAAAGGACUAGUGGGAACCAACAAGGCAUUGAUAUGCUUGUGGUUGGUGAUGGUGCUUCUCCUUUCAUCUGAGAUGGGAUCUGACGGUUGUGAAGGCCAUGGUAGCCAAACCUGGGAUGGCAACAUGUGUGUAUAGCACGGCACCUGCAAUGUGGUCUGCCAGAAAGAGGGUUAUGACAGAGGCCGCUGCUACGUGACCGUAUGCAGGUGCUACAAGAACUGCACCGAUCUACCAAUUUAGGCAUAUGUCCUUUCGCGAAAAAAAAUAUUAGGCAUAUGUCAUCUCGUGCAUGCUCGAUCGGUGCGAUUGCUAUGAGUCUAUGCAUUACAACAUAAGUAAAUUAAGAGGCUCUCUACAUGCAAUAAUAAAGGAUUCGUGCUUGAUGGUGUAA